rnacentral:rRNA from 1 species
UACGUAGGCAGCAAGCGUUGUUCGGAAUCAUUGGGCGUAAAGAGCGUGUAGGCGGCCAGAAAAGUCCGCUGUGAAAACUCGAGGCUCAACUUCGAGCUGUCGGUGGAAACUUUCUGGCUAGAGUCCGGAAGAGGAGAAUGGAAUUCCUGGUGUAGCGGUGAAAUGCGCAGAUAUCAGGAGGAACACCGGUGGCGAAGGCGGAUCUCUGGGCCGAUACUGACGCUGAGGAGCGAAAGCGUGGGGAGCGAACAGG